CCUCGUAAACAGAGAGGAGAAAACCUUCUUGAAUUGUUUGCCGGAAGUAAAUCCGCAUAUAGUUCUGAAACAUGGAGGAGAGACUCGAAUUUGCUCGAAAUAAACUUGGAAUUGAAUUUUCACUAAAGGAAAAACAAUUGGAAACUCUAAGAAAUUUAUGGGAGAGACGGGAUGUUAUAAGUGUGUUACCAACUGGUUACGGUAAAAGUGUCCUGUAUCAAUUACUUCCGUGGUUUUUACAAGGCGAUAGAGAAAAAGCUGGAAUCGUGAUUGUCAUUGCCCCCUUGACCUCGAUUAUUGUUGACCAGGUGUCAUUUUCAAUCUUCUAAGGGAAUAAAGGCCCUAUGCUUGAACUUUGAAGGAACUGGGUGUCGUUCCGCGGAUGAGGAAGAAACUGUCUCGAAGCUGGUCACAAAAGAUAUGCAGCGUAUCAUAGAUGGUGAUGUUGAGAUCCUUUACAGUCAUCCAGAAGCAAUUUUUUCUAAAAAGAUUGGUAGGAUUCUGAGGUCAAAAGUCUUUCAGGAGUAUGUUUGUUGUGUAACCAUUGAUGAGGUUCACAUGAUAGAGGAAUGGGGUGAAGAAUUCAGACCAAAGUUUAAAAAACUUGGAGACUUAACCUGUUUGUUUCCAUCUGCGGCACAUUUAUCACUAACAGCAACAGCGACUGAAACCUCAAUAGAAAGUCUUGGAAAAGUGCCAGUAUAUAAAUCCAGUUAUUAUCAAAGCCAAUCCUGACAGGCCAAAUAUUUUCCUAGAAAAGAUUGUGCGACCUCCUAAUAUUAACAAAGUUAAAAAGUUAGACACAAUUAUUGAACCUCUGUGUGAGGAGCUGAAAGAGAAGAGGGAAAAUUUCCCUGUGACUAUUGUUUAUGUCGAAAAUUUAGAGUCGUUGGGUUACUUUUAUCAGUAUGUGAACUCUGAAUUAAGGGAGCAUCAGUAUGUAGGUGAACCGAAUCCAGAAAACCGAAUCUUUGCACAAUUCCACAAAGAUUACACAGAGGCAAUGAAAAGCCAUGUGAUAACAGAGUUAAAAAAAGAAAACCCUACUCUUCGUUUAG